rnacentral:rRNA from 1 species
UACGUAGGGGGGCUAGCGUUGUCCGGAAUCAUUGGGCGUAAAGAGCGCGUAGGCGGCCAGAUAAGUCCGGUGUGAAAGUCACAGGCUCAACCUGUGAAUGCCGCUGGAAACUGUAUGGCUAGAGUCCGGAAGGGGCGAGUGGAAUUCCUGGUGUAGCGGUGAAAUGCGCAGAUAUCAGGAAGAACACCCGUGCGAAGGCGGCUCUCUGGGACGGUACUGACGCUGAGACGCGAAAGCGUGGAGAGCGAACAGG